AGGAUAAACGCUGGCGGCGUGCCUAACACAUGCAAGUCGAACGCCCUUUUUCUUCGCAAGAGGGGGGAGGGAGUGGCGGACGGGUGAGGAACACAUGGGUGACCUACCUUUCAGUGAGGAAUACCGGCGAGAAAUUGCCGACAAGACCGCAUACGCUUCUCUUUUCAAGGGGAGAAGGAAAGCUUUUCGCAAGAGAGGCGCUGGGAGAUGGGCCUGCGGCCGAUUAGCUAGCUGGUGGGGUAAUGGCCUACCAGGGCGACGAUCGGUAGCUGGUCUGAGGGGACGAUCAGCCACACUGGGAUUGAGAACGGCCAGACUCCUACGGGGGCAGCAGUGAGGAAUUUUCGGCAAUGGGGGCAACCCUGACCGAGCAACGCCGCGUGCAGGACGACGGCCUUCGGGUUGUAAACUGCUUUUCUCUGGGACGAGCAAGGACGGUACCAGAGGAAGAAGCCCGGCUAACUACGUGCCAGCAGCCGC
rnacentral:rRNA from 1 species